AGAGAGAGAGAGAGAAGAGAGCAUAUCUACUUGCCCAAUGACAUUGGUUAAAAAAUUUCAACCUUCAAACUACCUCCUCCAUUCCGCCCACUACACUUUUCAAACCUCAACAUUUAGAAGUACAGAUAUGUUAAAAUAUUAUAACAGAAACAGGUGUGUAUAGAUCCUGUAAUAUUAACGAAAAAUGUAUAUAAAAAUGGAACUACUCUGUAAGAUGUAGAUAUGUAUCUGACACCAUUACCUAAGUAUGACUAAAAUGGAUAGUGACAGCUUAAGCUAAUAUGGUUGAAAAACAUGCACAAUAUUUCAAAAAACAAUUUCUUAUUAUCUUUUUUGUGCAUUUGAAGUAGAACAAACCUUUAUCAAGAAAUAAAUAAACAAAAAGCAUCAAACUUAUGAAAGACCUUGCAAAUAUGAAAGACCUUGCAAAUAUUGAGUAUUUUACAAUCAUCUUAAGAAAACUAAAUCUGCCUAUAUGAUAGAACUCACAGCAUGUAAUCCAAAGAAUACAGUGAAAAAAGGAACUGAAGUAGGAGAAACAGAACAUACUGAGCAUCGUCUGAAGCCAAUAAA
rnacentral:misc_RNA from 1 species